rnacentral:rRNA from 1 species
UACAGAGGGGGCAAGCGUUUGUUCGGAAUUACUGGGCGUAAAGGGCGCGUAGGUGGCCUUCUAAGUUGAACGUGAAAUCCCUGGGCUCAACCCAGGAACUGCGUCCAAGACUGGGAGGCUUGAAUCCGGGAGAGGGAUGCGGAAUUCCAGGUGUAGCGGUGAAAUGCGUAGAUAUCUGGAGGAACACCGGUGGCGAAGGCGGCAUCCUGGACCGGUAUUGACACUGAGGCGCGAAAGCCAGGGGAGCAAACGGG